UUUCAUGGCAGCGUUAUGCAAUCGGGU
rnacentral:piRNA from 1 species